GUUCAGUAAAUUCAGAUGCCCAUAUAGAUUUUUUGAUAGUCGUUUAUCUGAUUAUGGUUCUACCAGAGACACGUAUGUCGGAUUCAAAACUAGAAUUUAAGCCCAAUACAGAAAUGCACAGAACCUAAAAACUGUUAUAGGUCAUUGUACGGCCUUCGCCAAUUAGCAAAGCCCGGAAUCACACAUUUAAAACAAUUCAAACGAGAAAACUAACUUGGCCUAAAAAAAAAAUGUACAAAAAAAAUGAACGGAAAACCAAAUAUGUUACACUGCAAAAUACGACAACCACUGAAUUACAGGCCCCUGAAAUGAGACAGGCACAUACAUAAGCAUAUUAAAAAAGUUAUCGGGAUCACAACCCUCCCUCAAAACCCAUGAACCUGGGAUAGAAGGUUGAUAAGUUAAGUUUAUUACAAUAAAAUAAGCAGGUGUAUCUUAAUCGCAC
rnacentral:lncRNA from 1 species